rnacentral:rRNA from 1 species
GUGCCAGCAGCCGCGGUAAUACGUAGGGUGCGAGCGUUGUCCGGAAUUAUUGGGCGUAAAGAGCUCGUAGGCGGUGUGUCGCGUCGGCCGUGAAAACCUACAGCUUAACUGUGGGCGUGCGGUCGAUACGGGCAGACUUGAGUUCGGUAGGGGAGACUGGAAUUCCUGGUGUAGCGGUGGAAUGCGCAGAUAUCAGGAGGAACACCGGUGGCGAAGGCGGGUCUCUGGGCCGAUACUGACGCUGAGGAGCGAAAGCGUGGGGAGCGAACAGGAUUAGAUACCCUGGUAGUCC